GACGAACGCUGGCGGCGCGCCUAACACAUGCAAGUCGAACGGAGCUGAGAGAAGCUUGCUUUUCUUAGCUUAGUGGCGAACGGGUGAGUAACGCGUGAGUAACCUGCCCUGGAGUGGGGGACAACAGUUGGAAACGACUGCUAAUACCGCAUAAGCCCACGGCCCGGCAUCGGGCUGAGGGAAAAGGAUUUAUUCGCUUCAGGAUGGACUCGCGUCCAAUUAGCUAGUUGGUGAGGUAACGGCCCACCAAGGCGACGAUUGGUAGCCGGACUGAGAGGUUGAACGGCCACAUUGGGACUGAGACACGGCCCAGACUCCUACGGGAAGCAGCAGUGGGGGAUAUUGCACAAUGGGGGAAACCCUGAUGCAGCGACGCCGCGUGGAGGAAGAAGGUUUUCGGAUUGUAAACUCCUGUCGUUAGGGACGAUAAUGACGGUACCUAACAAGAAAGCACCGGCUAACUACGUG
rnacentral:rRNA from 1 species